UAGGCCUGUUGGAAACAGAGAGGGAUGAGCCAACUGACCGCCUUUCCCUCACAGCUAAAUCCUUUCCCCUUCAGGGUUAAGAGCGAGAUGGGCGGGCUGCCUUGGUUGGUUUGGCAUCUCUGUACUUCCUCUUACUGACUCUCUUGUAACCUGUGUGUCCAGACUCAACCCAGAUCAGGAUGACUUCACAGUUGCAGUUGUUAACCGCCAGGCUACAGUGCCUAGUCUGGUAGCAGUUGGAGAGUCUUGAGGAAGAGGCACACAGUGCUGAGACUUAGCCCCCUAACACACAGGGAACCGCCCUGGACAGACUUUGUCAAACUCCCACGGGCAUAUGCCCACGGCUGUCUGGGUACACUGAGGCAGGGACUACUGACUGUGCCCGCUGCCCCAUGGAGUGAUUCCAUGGGAAGCCACACAGAACCACUGCCUCCAAACAGCGGCCAGCCCGCACUCUUUCGGUUUCUUUCCUCUGAGUGGAAAGCCUCGCCGACUCGGCUGCCGGCGGGCUGCUAGAGUGUCUCAGUUCCCGCUUCAUCUCUUUCCAUUUUGCAGUUGCAGACUGCGCUCAAAGGACAAACGACCCCUUCGACGCGAAAAAGCUUCCCAAAGCUCCGCACCAUAGGAAGGAGACCGUACCCAGGAGGCCAAAAGAGCACCAAGGCCGAAAAUCACGAAGCUGCGGAGCACCACCGUGCCUAGAGAGACCCAGCCCUCCCAACCCAAGUCCCCCUCCCCGUUCAACUUCCGGGCGGAGGCGCGGCUUCCGGUUCCGGCCGUGCUCGACAAAGGUCUGCAACGGAGUGUUGGUAUCCGUUUUCUGGAGUCAGUGUCGGGGUUAGGGUUUCACCCUGGUCCUCCCUCGCCCCCUGAGGUGGCACCUGCCCAGGUACCCCUGAGUCGGCAGGUAUUCUGCUUUUACCCUUCUCAUCACCCUAGGAGUCUGAAACGUUUUUUCCCAGAGUUCCAGAAUGGAGACUGAAGGAUACCCAGAGACACAAAGAAACAGGGAAGUCCAGAAUGAUCAAAUGCGGUCACUACUAAAUGAAAUGAUGGCUGAGGAGCCAGAAGUCAUCCUAAUACCAGCUUCCCAGGUCCAGGUUCCAGGAGAGCCUUCUGGGCUCCCACCAGAGAGCCUGGAUGAAGACACUGUUGAAGACCUUGAGAACACACCACAAAGGAAUCCUCCCAACCCUGCAACUUCCAGGCAGAGGUUUAGGAAGUUCUGCUAUGAGGAUGCAGCUGGUCCCAGGGAUGUCCUCAGACAUCUUCAGGAGCUUGCUGGACAGUGGCUGAGACCUGACAUUCACACAAAGGAGCAGAUUGUGGAAAUGCUGGUGCAAGAGCAAUUCCAGGCUGUCCUGCCUGAGGAGCUCAGAGCUCAAGCGCAGAGAUGUCAGCCUGGAGUCAGAAUCACUGGCUAAGUCUUGCUGCUUGCUUCCUGCUCAGCCUACACAUGAGAAGUAAACAAGAGGUACUCUUUGAUGCAUGAUCCAGCUGCAGCCGUGGGAAAUCUGAACCUCUGUUUUCUUUGAGCUUGUCUUUGGUUGUAAUAAGAAUACAUCAAAAUCCAUGUCUAGACCUCUUUUUGGCUGAGACAGCUUUAUAUCCUGGGACUAUGAUCUCCAAAAGGAAUAUCUUAGGACAAUCAGCCCUCUGCUUCCAGCUUUUCCAAGAGCUGGUUUUUCUUCUGCUGGAUGCCUUCUUUUUUUGCACUUUGUGACAUGCUUUAAUGUAUUGUUGUUAUGUAUCCAAAGAGGUAAUCAGCUUUAAUGUUCAGAAUUUAUGGUUCUUGCUUUGGUGGCAUGAAUGGAAGUUCAUGUAACUGCACCAGUAACUCAUUUGGGAUGCCCUUGAAAUAUUAAAGUUUGGUCCUUAGUGAA